rnacentral:rRNA from 1 species
CCUACGGGAGGCAGCAGUGGGGAAUAUUGGACAAUGGGGGGAACCCUGAUCCAGCCAUGCCGCGUGUGUGAAGAAGGCCCUCGGGUUGUAAAGCACUUUCAGUGAGGAAGAACGCCUGGUGGUUAAUACCCAUCAGGAAAGACAUCACUCACAGAAGAAGCACCGGCUAACUCCGUGCCAGCAGCCGCGGUAAUACGGAGGGUGCGAGCGUUAAUCGGAAUUACUGGGCGUAAAGCGCGCGUAGGUGGCUUGAUAAGCCGGUUGUGAAAGCCCCGGGCUCAACCUGGGAACGGCAUCCGGAACUGUCAAGCUAGAGUGCGGGAGAGGAAGGUAGAAUUCCCGGUGUAGCGGUGAAAUGCGUAGAGAUCGGGAGGAAUACCAGUGGCGAAGGCGGCCUUCUGGACUGACACUGACACUGAGGUGCGAAAGCGUGGGUAGCAAACAGGUUUAGAUACCCUGGUAGUC